UGGCUCAGGAUGAACGCUAGCGGGAGGCCUAACACAUGCAAGCCGAGCGGUAGAGUUUCUUCGGAAACUUGAGAGCGGCGUACGGGUGCGUAACACGUGUGCAACCUACCUUUAUCUGGGGGAUAGCCUUUCGAAAGGAAGAUUAAUACCCCAUAAUAUAAUGAUUGGCAUCAAUUAUUAUUGAAAACUCCGGUGGAUAGAGAUGGGCACGCGCAAGAUUAGAUAGUUGGUGAGGUAACGGCUCACCAAGUCAAUGAUCUUUAGGGGUCCUGAGAGGGAGAUCCCCCACACUGGUACUGAGACACGGACCAGACUCCUACGGGAGGCAGCAGUGAGGAAUAUUGGACAAUGGGUGAGAGCCUGAUCCAGCCAUCCCGCGUGAAGGAUGACGGUCCUAUGGAUUGUAAACUUCUUUUGUACAGGGAUAAACCUACUCUCGUGAGGGUAGCUGAAGGUACUGUACGAAUAAGCACCGGCUAACUCCGUGCCAGCAGCCGCGGUAAU
rnacentral:rRNA from 1 species